ensembl:misc_RNA Y_RNA Y RNA
GACUGGUCCAAUUGCAGUGGUGCUUACAACUAAUUCAUCACAACCAGUUAUAGAUUUGUUUUUUCUCCAUUCCCAUUGCUUCACUUGACUAGCCUAAA